rfam:Glossina pallidipes unplaced genomic scaffold Scaffold17, whole genome shotgun sequence.
GGGGGUAGCUUUUAGUACAUAGGCGCCAUGGAUGGCGAGUCGUGCAUGCUGCUGCUACUAAGAACCAGCAGUAUCUCCUGAAGAUAUUCUACCUCC